CAGUCGCCGCGGUAAUACGAAGGGUGCAAGCGUUACUCGGAAUUACUGGGCGUAAAGCGUGUGUAGGUGGUUGUUUAAGUCUGUCGUGAAAGCCCUGGGCUCAACCUGGGAAUUGCGAUGGAUACUGGGCGACUAGAGUGCGGUAGAGGAUAGUGGAAUUUCCGGUGUAGCAGUGAAAUGCGUAGAGAUCGGAAGGAACAUCUGUGGCGAAGGCGACUAUCUGGGCCAACACUGACACUGAGACACGAAAGCGUGGGGAGCAAACAGGAUUAGAUACCCCCGUAGUCCCUGUCUCUUAUAA
rnacentral:rRNA from 1 species